rnacentral:tRNA from 1 species
GGGCGGAUGAUGAAAUUGGUAUACAUUCGACACUUAAAAUGUCGCGUCAUUUAUGGCAUGCGGGUUCGAGUCCCGCUCCGCCCA